UGUGACUGACUCCGUCUACAGUUGAAGACAUUGAUUAAUUCACUUAAAAUUUUAUCUGUGAAGAGAAAACACAGGAACCAAAGCAUUUAUUUAUUUACCUUCACACCUACAUUAGGGGUAAGUUAAGGUUAGCUAGUGUGUAAACUUGGUGUGUGUUUGAAUUAUGUAGACACAUUGUGCAUUCAUACUGUAUGGAGUCAAAUUAGGGUCACAUUAGAUUUGUGAAUGUGUAACCAGAUGCGUGCGUGCGUAAUCAAAUCUGUGCAGAACUGUCACAACCUGGAUUUUUGUUUAACAUUUCCUGUUUUAUUUUGGUACUUCCUGUUUUGUUUUCCUGUCUGCCUUAUUUUUGGUUUUACUCAUCCAGUUAUGGGAUUCACCAGCAGUUGUCAAUAAGUAAUCAGGUCAUGCAUUUAAACCCCAGUACUCACCACAUUCAUUGCCAGAUUGUCAGCUCACGUUACAUGUGUCUAUGAUCCAGCACGCAUUCAUCAACACCUGCCAGCCCUGACGAUUGGAUCCAGCCGGUGCCAAGUCUGUGCAAUCUGCCCAUUAGGUUCAGGAGCUUGACCUUGAGAGCCGAACUGACGCCGCGCUCCAGAACCUGGCUCACUGCACUGCCCUACAGGAAAACGCCGUUGUGGACCUCACACAGCUGGUCUGGAUGAGAGCCACGUUCAGUCCCGCUUUUGGCAAUGUAAAUUUUCCAGGAGGUCACUCCGGGGCGACAAGCAGCUCAAAAGCUCCUGAACAUAAGACAGGGAGCACACAACACGUCAAAGAAUGCCAUUGAGUUCCGGACGCUAGAGUUCCUAGCUACGCUAGGCGUAGGGAUUGGAGGCUGACGGAGGUACUGAAGAGCCAUGACGGGAGCACAUGGUGGAUCUCCUCGGGCGGCGCAUUCCGAGCGGACGCCGGAGGCGCCGCCGUUGACGCUUCUUCUGGAGCUUACCCGUCCUCCGAGGAGCAUAAGCAGUUGGGAUGUACCCGAUUAACCCCGGACGAAAGACCAUGACGUCGGAGCCUGGGCUUGGGCCUUUACUGCGGUCAGUGUGGUCACUUUGCAGCGGCUUGCUCGCUAAAAGGGCAGCCUCGUUAUUAGGCCGGAGGCUAAUGGUGAGCCGUGCAGCGCUAAACCAGCUCUGCUGACCUGAGCGGGGAUGACCCGGUGCAUGUGGCUGGUGUUCCAGAAUACUACAUGGACCUGCGAGAGGUGUUUAGAAAGCGUUGGGCCACAACUUUACCACCGCAUCAGGAUAAUCGGAGGUGCUAGCCGGGGUUUGUCUUCACAAAGCUGGACCUCUGCAAUGCAUACCAUCUGCUGCGUAUCAGGAAGGGGCACCAGUGGAAGACCGCAUUUAAUACCCCAAAUGGACACUUUGAAUAUUCGGUAAUGUCGUUUAGCCUUACCAAUGCACCAGCGGUUUUUCAGGGGCUGUUGAACAAAGUACUGUAAUGUGACCAUGAUGGUUAAAAGUCAAUGCUGCAAACUAAAUAAACGAUCACAAUUUCUUUGACCAA